rnacentral:rRNA from 1 species
UACGAAGGGGGCGAGCGUUGUUCGGAUUUACUGGGCGUAAAGGGCGCGUAGGCGGCGGGUCAAGUCGAGUGUGAAAGCCCCGGGCUCAACCUGGGAAUUGCGCUCGAGACUGGUCUGCUUGAGUUCGGGAGAGGAGAGUGGAAUUCCCAGUGUAGAGGUGAAAUUCGUAGAUAUUGGGAAGAACACCGGUGGCGAAGGCGGCUCACUGGCUCGUUUCUGACGCUGAGGCGCGAAAGCGUGGGGAGCAAACAGG